CAAUUACACGCUGUCAUUGGUCGAGACGUGACAUUUAGUUCAGUUAGGUUGAAUUGUAUUUUACAGAUCAUUAUUUUGAACGUUUGGUUUAGGAGUUUCAGUGCAAACCGUGGGAUUUUAAUUUAACGAUAUUAUAAAGUUGGCUUGCUUUGUCAGAUUAUUAUUAUUAUUAUUAUUAUUAUUGAAAACAAACAGGUGAGCACUUGCAUACUACUUUAUUUAUUUGUUUGCUUCUUACAUUUACCACUCGACUGCCUGCUAAGCCGGGUUUGUUUAGACAUGACCAUGCUGUACAUAAUGAAUAUGUUAAUUAAGUAAUUAAUUUCUACUUAGUUUUCCGGUAAACAGACAUUGUCGACUUCCUCAUCGUAGUCUUUAUAUCUUUGCUGUUUGGUCUUGGCCCUGUUUUUUUUUUUGAGAUUCUGGGCACCAUUUAAUAAGUAAACAGUCAGCAUUAAAGUUCAUUAUCAUCAGGCUGUUUGUUUUAAGUGUAUUUCAGUAGGCUACAACUGAAAAUGGCGACCCCAAUCCGUGUUGUGAACCCAGAUGCCCCUGAAAAUCGCCAGCAGGCCAUACUGGUGGCGACCAAAGAGGCUCGCCAGUACAGGGAAAGAUGGAUGGUCUUCCCUACACCUCCACAGUAGUCUGCCCUGGCCCAUGCAGAGAAGCUCCUUGUAAAUGAGGGGAUCCCUGCACUGACACAUCAGCAGUGUCUGGGAAAGCUAGACCUGCCCUUUGGACAACAUGUGAAUGCACCGUUCCACUGGCUUGUUUCAAAUUAUGUUGGAUACAUGAAAUACAGCAGGUAAGUACCUUCAUGGCUGAUCCCUUAUCAUGGCCAGGUGAUGCUAAACUGGAAGCUGCAAGUCAGGCUGUGACUUACAAGUCAGGUAAGUGAGAGAGUUAACAGAAAUCAAGCCCUUUUUAUAAUAUGAUUGGGUUUAUUGUAUUGUAUAUUUAUAAUAUUUUUUUAUUAUAACAUUCAUUCUGUAAAUUUGCUAGGGCUGGCUCUUAUCUGUAGCUCUUGAGCAAUUCUAACAGUCAGUCUGUUAGGUUGCCUUCUCAGGAUUCCAUGGACAAGCCCAGUCAGCCUGAUGCUACUGUCCGGCCCGAGGAGUCAGGGCCCACUGUCAGGUCCAAGCAGUCCAAGUCCAGUGUCCAGGCCGAGCAGUCAGAAUCCCAGUCCACAACACAGGACCGUGUUACACCCCAAAAAUGACUGCCAGCGGUCUCCCCUGUGGAGCUAAAGGGUUUAGUUUGUCUUUGUGAAAAACCCAACGGCAUCCCACCGGCCGACAUUUCCUGGAUCAAAGAGGACACAGAGGGUUGUUCACCCCUGUUCAAACCUACAAGGACAUCACUGGCCUGUGCAAGAAGCGACAGGUGCUUAAAUUGGACCGCAUGUGGUUUUACUCAUCUGAACCUCCCGGUUAUGUGAGGGGUGCUCUGCCAACUCCUGACUCCUUUUUUCGGAGCCGCGUCUUUGUGUGGCGCUCUGUUGGAGUGUGGAGGUAGUCCCUGAUGUGUCCUAGAGGUGACAAGUGUGUGGGUAAGGGACUGAACGUGCACCUCUACAAGUCUGGCUACCACCACUGGGUAUGAUUAACACUAACUAAGCAGGUACAUCACCUGUGACAUGUCCAGCUGGUACACAAUGCUGACUGAAGUCCGGUGCUGCAGACCAUGUUCAAAGGCAGCAAGGAGUGGGGAAGGUAGCACAGUGGGCUGGUGGCUUGCAGGGGAUCCUGCUAUUCUGUUGCAGCUGAGUGAGGCUCAUCGAGCCAUGUUUCCUGCCAUGCUCACUAGCACAGGCCAUCGAUGAGGUGUGAGCAAGUCAGCAGCGACACCUAGAGUGCAAAUACGCACAGUCCAAACAUCCCAGGAUCCACCAGACAUGAACAUGUACAGAGUGGCACUCUAGCACAGCCAUCAGCAACGUGGACGUGCCCUACAACAAAUGUCUGCAUGGAAGCAACAGCCUGGAGGGAUUCCACAAAGCCCUGCCCAAUAUGAUUCCGGGUACACAACUGCAGUCCGUAUACCUGUAACAAAGGAAAUGGGUGACCUUGUCGUUUUUCUAACACACCAUCAUAACUUUCAGGCCCCUAUUGUGCCACUCGGACCUAUCAGGUUUACCUGAUAAGCGGCAUUGCACGGUGGAACAUGGACAGGAGCUCCGAUGCGGUGUUUUGUGGCAAAGGAUGGCACCACAGGGUUUACUCUGCACCGCUGAGAAUUUCCAGACCCCUGCUGACGUGCCUUCCCAGGAGCUGCUUGGGCUGGAGUACCUAUUCAGCCAAAGCACGGGUGAAUCCGGGCCCUUUCCUCUCCAGGACAACCCGGUCCUAAGGAGGAGGUGGUUCAGUCGGGACACCCCGAUACUGGUGAGGCUGACGAGGUGUACCACAGCGAUGUGGAGACAAGACGACAUUCUGGACGUCGCCCAAUCCCACAUUAUGCUCACUAGCCAAGACACCUCCACCGUUCACCCUUCAGCAUUUAAGGAUGCCUGCAGACCUAAACCUCUUCCUGGCUUUGAAAAACUGGAAACGUUCUGCUCCUUGCUGGUGGAGAUUGGUCUGGCAGAGGACAAGCUGUUAGGCAGGUGUUCCCCUAACGAAAAUAAUCAAGACGGUGCGGGAUUUUAUCAAUCAUUGAGAGGCUCCUCAACCUGCAUGCUACGAAACGGCCGUGGACUGUCACAAAGACCACGUUGAUCCGCAGAGCUACCUCCGGCACCACAUCAGCCAGCAGCCCUCCCUCCACCAGACUACUAUGUGCCCACACCUAGCACGGCAGAGACGAAGAUGUUGAAGGAGAGGACAGACAUAACUACACCACUCUCCUGCUCUAAACCGCCUUCACUUCUGCCGCCGGCGGCAAGAAAAACCCCAGCCACUCCUUUUCUCUCCCUCUCAGUCUUUUGCUCAACAGCCACCCAUGGGAUUUCUGUCCCCUUCACAUAUCCUAUAGUCCCCACCAGUCAGUCUGCUCACGUUGCUGGUCCAGCCACAUCUCUUUCUUCAGCGGUGUCCAUAUUGCCUGCCAGUCAGACCACUUUUACGUCACACAGUACAGGCACAUCUGCAAUAUGGGCAAGAUCUACACAUUACAAGGCUGAAACCCCUGUCAUAAUUGGGAGCCAAACUGUCAAGGGUGCAAAACCCCCCAAACUGCAUGCUAUAUGGCCAACCCGCCCAGGGACAUAUAUUGAAAAGAAAGGAGAAAAAAAAAAAAACUUUUAGAAUGAUGUCUCCAUCAAAAGGACUGGAAAACAUAGUUUAUGAAAGUUUUGAAAACUUUACCUCUGUUGUUGACCAGCUGGAAACUGAAGGACCAUGCAGAAUGUAAUGUUCUUAAAUGCUUUGGGAAUUCUUUCCAUUAUAAUUGCAAUUUAUUUUAUUUGUUUAUUUUAACUAUAAAAACACUAGUACAUAUGUGCAUGCCAUUGUAUAAAUUGUAAAAACUUUGUUUAUUAAGGUUUUAUUCUUAUUCAUGUUCAAUGAUGCUUGCUACACUGUAGUGCUGCUUUCUUUACUAAUACACAGAUACUGUAUAGACUGUAGGUGAGACCUGAUACCCCUCUGCUAGGCGAAGUAAAAGGGCAAUCAUUUAUCUGGCCUUUCACAAAAAUUAUCCUCCAGUUCCUGAACAUUUAGGUGGGUAUUGAUAACCAUCACAUUACUAAGUAAGGAAGGUAAUCACACAGUGCCUAUGCAAAUCUGCCCUUAAUGAGAUGACAACAGCGUGGUCAGGCCAGGACAAAAGUGUUAAAUUUUGUUACACCACUGUUGCAAACUUUCAUUUUAUAUGUUGGUUGUCUUUGUUUUUUGCACUAAAAUCACAAGUCAGUCCAGCAGGAUACAGUAUAUAACAAUUUCAUGAAUAUUUGAAAGCUUUGUUGUAGUUUAGCCCUGUCUCCUCGAUGUGCAGGUCUGGCAGCAAACUGCAGGAGGAAGCACUGAAACUCUGCUGAGUUAUAAAAAAGAUCAGAGCAGAGUUAGUCAAAAACGUCAACAAAGGGACCAUGUUUGAGAGUGUAAUAAACAGCAUCAAAUAUUAUUAUCUGAGGCAAAAACGCUUUGGCAACCUAUCUACUAUGAGUGAUUUAAUGUAGAUUUAAAGCACAUUUCAUUUUCAUAAUUAGCUUUUGGCUGUUAACUGGAGCUUUUUAUAGCUGGAUUUAUUAUCCCUUGUUUUUUGUGUUAGGAGAUUUAAUUUCUUUUAGCAGAUUUGAGUUAGUGUGAGGGAAAGAUGAGCAGUAGGGGAUGUGGUAGCUUAGUGGUUAAAGAUUAAUUGCUGUUGUAGAUAGGACAUUAUUUAGUUAGAUACAUUAUUUACUGUCCAGUGUCACCCAAAUGAGGAUGAUGUUCCCCUCAAGGUUUCUUCCUCAUAUUACAGAGUUUUUCCCUUGCCACCAUGGCUCAUUAGGAAUAAAAUAGUUUCAUAAUUUUUCUCUCCUUUCUCUACUUUGGAAAGCUGAUUUGAGAAAAUGUCCAUUGUAAAAGGCACUAUACAAAUAAAUUAAAUUGAAUAGAAAAAAUGUAAGCGUUGGCCUACUGAUUGGAAGGUUGUGAGGUUGAUUCCUAGGUCCACAAAACUGCCGCUGCUGGAGCCCUGAGCAAGGCCCUUAACCCUUAAGCUCAGUUGUAUGAAAUGAGAAAUUGUAGGUCACUCUGGAAAGGAGAAUAAACAGCAGCAAUGUAAAUGCAUUUCUAACUCACAUCUAUCUCGCUAUGAGAAUGAGCAAAGAUCAAGAUCUAUACCUUGUACACAGUAAGGUAGCUUACUGUAACAAACUGUGCUUUUUCUAAUACUGAUUUUGAAUAAAGUUUGUUACUUUUCCAGAGACGCAUGUAAAAACUAAGGGAUUUUCACAUUUGCAUAAUGCAUUUUUUAGAAAUGUAAAAAUAAAGUUAAUCUGUUCUUGCAGACUUCACCUUAAGUGGUUAAUACACCAAUCAUCACUGUAACAGGCAUGGUUGAAAUGAAAAUGAUUCACUUUCAAACUGAUAUCUGUUAAUAUCUAUAUCUAUAAAUUCCUUUAGACGUAGACAUCUUUUUAAUACAAAUAACCAUAAACCAUAAUAAACCAUAAAUAAACACUGUAGAUGCAGAUAACGCAAAAGCUGUGGAAUAAAUAACACCAACAAUUCACUGCUAAAGUUACAGCUAGACAUGAAGUAAAUAAAUAUUAUAAUACAGUAGAUAAACAUCUUUUAAAACACAUUUACAUACACAAUAGGUCAAACAGAUUAAACAAGUUAAACACAAAGACAGUAGUGCAAUGCAUUCAAUACACAACUGACAUGUCCUCCUUUCAACCAGGGGCUAAAUCGACUGUGGACUAACAAAAAAAGAAAAAACAAAUAAAAAGAAAAAAACAUCCAAAUUUUCUUAAAUUUACUUUAGAUGGACUUGAGUAGAACUUAAGGCACUUUAAUCAACUCCAUAUCCUUUUUAUUGAGCUCUCCAUUUCCAGAGGAUUGAACCUUUUAAUACGAGUUCUUAAAGAGAAAAUAACAGACAAAUAAUAUUUUAAAAUAAACUCAUAACCAAUAACUCAAAGUUAACCAUCAUAAAAAUAAUAAUAAGCACACAAAAUUACACAAAUAACCUAGGGUUAUUUAUAACUGACAUGGUAUUUUUUUCUGUUAGAUGUUUAUGUAACAUUUAUGGAAAGAGUAUUUAAUACAUUUUUAAACUGAUUGUACUUAUUGGCAAAUCAAUGUAGUAAAAGCCACAUCAGGAAAUGUAGUAUGCAGAAGUCUCCUUCUUCUUAGAAAUUCAACACUAAUCACCGAUCAAAGAGGAAUAAUACACCAGUGUUUACCAUUAUAGAAAAAUUCAGGCGUUUUUCAGAUCAGUUCUGGCCUGCGAAUAUUUUCCUUUAGCAGCAUGACCCACUGUAUCUUACUGCUUAUAAAAACAUUUGUG